UACGUAGGGGGCAAGCGUUGUCCGGAAUCAUUGGGCGUAAAGAGCGUGUAGGCGGCCCGGUAAGUCUGCUGUGAAAGUCCAGGGCUCAACCCUGGGAUGCCGGUGGAUACUGCAGGGCUAGAGUACGGAAGAGGCGAGUGGAAUUCCUGGUGUAGCGGUGAAAUGCGCAGAUAUCAGGAGGAACACCUAUUGCGAAGGCAGCUCGCUGGGACGUAACUGACGCUGAGACGCGAAAGCGUGGGGAGCAAACAGG
rnacentral:rRNA from 1 species